rnacentral:rRNA from 1 species
CGGAGCAUGCGAUUAAUUCGAUGACAACGCGAAGAACCUUACCAAGGCUUGACAUACACCGGUAACGCCCAGAGAUGGGUGCCCCUUUGUGGUCGGUGGACAGGUGGUGCAUGGUUGUCGUCAGCUCGUGUCGUGAGAUGUUGGGUUAAGUCCCGCAACGAGCGCAACCCUCGUCCUAUGUUGCCAGCGGGUCAUGCCGGGGACUCAUGGGAGACUGCCGGGGUCAACUCGGAGGAAGGUGGGGAUGACGUCAAAUCAUCAUGCCCCUUAUGUCUUGGGCUUCACGCAUGCUACAAUGGCCGGUACAAAGGGCUGCGAUACCGCGAGGUGGAGCGAAUCCCAGAAAGCCGGUCUCAGUUCGGAUUGGGGUCUGCAACUCGACCCCAUGAAGUCGGAGUCGCUAGUAAUGGCGGAUCAGCAUGCCGCCGUGAAUACGUUCCCGGGUCUU